GAUGAACGCUGGCGGCGUGCCUAAUACAUGCAAGUAGAACGCUGAAGGAGGAGCUUGCUCUUCUGGAUGAGUUGCGCACGGGUGAGUAACGCGUAGGUAACCUGCCUGGUAGCGGGGGAUAACUAUUGGAAACGAUAGCUAAUACCGCAUGACAACAGUUAUUGCAUGAUAACUGUUUAAAAGGGGCAACUGCUCCACUACCAGAUGGACCUGCGUUGUAUUAGCUAGUUGGUGAGGUAACGGCUCAACAAGGCGACGAUACAUAGCCGACCUGGGAGGGGGAACGGCCACACUUGGACUGGAGAACCGCCCAGGCUUCCACGGGGGGCAGCAGGAGGGAAUCUUCGGGAAUGGAGGGAAGUCUGACCGAGCAAAGCCGCGUGAGUGAAGAAAGUUUUCGGAUCGGAAAGCUCUGUUGUAAGAGAAGAACGAGUGGGGGAGUGAAAAGUUCACACUGUGACGGUAUCUUACCAGAAAGGGACGGCUAACUACGUG
rnacentral:rRNA from 1 species